rnacentral:rRNA from 1 species
UACAGAGGUCUCAAGCGUUGUUCGGAUUCAUUGGGCGUAAAGGGUGCGUAGGUGGCGGGGUAAGUCGGAUGUGAAAUCCCGGGGCUCAACCCCGGAACUGCAUUCGAUACUGCCUUGCUCGAGGACUGGAGAGGGGACUGGAAUUUACGGUGUAGCGGUGAAAUGCGUAGAUAUCGUAAGGAAGACCAGUGGCGAAGGCGGGUCUCGUGGACAGUUCCUGACGCUGAGGCACGAAGGCCAGGGGGAGCAAACGGGG